AGUGAACGCUGGCGGUAGGCCUAACACAUGCAAGUCGAACGGCAGCACAGGAGAGCUUGCUCUCUGGGUGGCGAGUGGCGGACGGGUGAGGAAUACAUCGGAAUCUGCCCAGUCGUGGGGGAUAACGUAGGGAAACUUACGCUAAUACCGCAUACGACCUUCGGGUGAAAGAGGGGGAUCGCAAGACCUCUCGCGAUUGGAUGAGCCGAUGUCGGAUUAGCUAGUUGGCGGGGUAAUGGCCCACCAAGGCGACGAUCCGUAGCUGGUCUGAGAGGAUGAUCAGCCACACUGGAACUGAGACACGGUCCAGACUCCUACGGGAGGCAGCAGUGGGGAAUAUUGGACAAUGGGCGCAAGCCUGAUCCAGCCAUACCGCGUGGGUGAAGAAGGCCUUCGGGUUGUAAAGCCCUUUUGUUGGGAAAGAAAUCUUUCGGGCUAAUACCCUGGGAGGAUGACGGUACCCAAAGAAUAAGCACCGGCUAACUUCGUG
rnacentral:rRNA from 1 species